UUUGGAACGAUUUUGCCUCGUGGUAGCAUCGUGUUCCUCUUCCUCUCACGCAGACUCCCUCUUGUCCCCUUCUCACACUAACACAAACUCAAAUAAGAUGAAUCGACCGCUUUUGUUUUUUUGUGACGUCUUUGAAGAAAACGGCGGUGUAAAGGUGCUGGACAGGAAACCCAAUAUCCACCUCGACGGGGACAGAACCGCUCGACCAGACUUCUGGGUUUAAGACUCCACCAAGUGGUCGAACCCGUUCCAGGUGAGCUGAUCUCUUUAUGUUGCUAUGGAGACCACCUCCUUUAACAUGCUGACAAAGACAAUAUGUUGGUGUACAGCGCCCCCUUUUGGACACAAUGACAAUGAGGCCUCCCACACGUUUAAAGCGCCUCACACAAAGGAGUUCAACUGGAUGUGACGCGUAGCGCUAUCAUUGUGAAGCCGGAAGCGUGUCAUUGGUAUAGUAACUUUGAUAUCAUGUAUGCGCGCAGAUUAGUCACACAAUUCAUAUUGACUGUAACUGUUCUUUACCUUAAACAAGGAUGGUGAAAGGAUGAAUAACGGCCUGAGUCUUAUUACGGUCAGUGAUCAGGUCAACGCAUGCAAUAAAGCAAGAUUGAGUGGUGUGAUUGCUGGCAAAUUUCACAAAAUACAACCUGACUGGAAUUUAGAUAAUUUUGUUUUGAGCAAAUAAAUGAUGUGUAUUCAAGUAAAA